rnacentral:lncRNA from 1 species
CUUUUUCUGCAUGACAUGGCAAUUUAUCGCAACCUAGCCUCUCAAGGCUAAAUACAUAGUACAAAUAAUUCUAACACCAAAAUUAGUUUAGCCAUUCAUGCUCAUUUAUUGUCAUAAGCCAUUCAAUUUAAAACCAUAAAUUUAUAACACAAGCAGGCAGUCUCCAAUUACUCUAUUUUCAAAACCAGUAUUCGAUUUUC